GAUCCGGUAGCUCAGUUGGUAGAGCAUUUGACUUUUAAUCAAAGGGUCCCGGGUUCGAGCCCCGGCCGGAUCACAA
rnacentral:tRNA from 1 species